CAGGACGGUGGCCAUAGAAGUUGGAAUCUGCUAAGGAAUGUGUAACAACUCACCUG
rnacentral:ncRNA from 1 species